rnacentral:rRNA from 1 species
UACGGGGGGGGCAAGCGUUGUUCGGAAUUACUGGGCGUAAAGCGCGCGUAGGCGGCUUUUCAAGUCGAGUGUGAAAGCCCCGGGCUUAACCCGGGAAUGGCGCUCGAUACUGUUGAGCUAGAGUGUGGAAGGGGCUACUGGAAUUCCGUGUGUAGCGGUGAAAUGCGUAGAUAUCAGGAGGAACACCAAUUGCGAAGGCAGCUCGCUGGGACGUUACUGACGCUAAGGCGCGAAAGCGUGGGGAGCGAACAGG